rnacentral:rRNA from 1 species
ACAUGCAGUCGAGCGGUAACAGGUCCAGCUUGCUGGCACGCUGACGAGCGGCGGACGGGUGAGUAAUGCAUAGGAAUCUACCCGGUAGUGGGGGAUAACCUGGGGAAACCCAGGCUAAUACCGCAUACGUCCUACGGGAGAAAGGGGGCUUCUGGUUCCCCCUUUCGAAUAACCCAUUUUCGAAUUACUUGUUUGUUAAGUUACCGCCUCACCAAGGCACCAUUCCUUACCUGGCCUAAAAGAUUAAUCACCCCCUUCGGACCUAAACCCCGCCCCAACUUCUUCCGGAAGGCACCAUUGGGAAUUUUUGAACAUUGGCCCCAGCCCUAUUCCACCCUUCCCCCUUUUUUAAAAAAGGUUUUCGGUUUUUAAACCCUUUUCACCAAGAAAAACCCCCGGGCGUUUAUUCCCCCCAAGGAAAAACUUCCUUCCAAAAAAAACCACCGCCUACUUCCUUCCCACCACCCCCGUUAUUCCGAAGGUUCCAACCUUUAUUCGAAUUUCCGGGCCUUAAACCCCCCUUAGUUGGCUUACCAGCCCGUUUUUAAAACCCCCGGCUUCACCUUGGAACCGCCUUCCGAAAUUUUAACCCUAAAUUCCAGAAAAGAAAGGUGAAUUUCCCGUUUUACCGUUAAAUUCCUUAAAAUUCGGAAGAAUUACAAUUGCCAAAGCCGCCUUUCUGAAUUAACAUUACCACUAAGUUCCAAAACCUUGGUUACCAAACAGAAUAAAUUCCCUUGUUAUUCACCCCCUUAACCAAUUUCACCAACCCUUUGGUUGCCUUGUCCCUUUUUGCCGAAUUAACCCAAUAAUUCAACGCCUGGGGAAUACGGCCCCAGGUUAAACUCAAUGAAUUGACGGGGGCCCGCACAACCGUUGAACAUUUGUUUAAUUCAUGCACCCGAAAACCUUACUACCCUUGAAUCCUGCGAACCCGAAAAAAUUCCGGGUGCUUCCGGAACCCAAAACAAGUGCUGCAUGGCUUCGUCACCUCUGUUUGAAAUGUGGGUAAUUCCCUAACAACCCACCCUUUUCCUAUUUCCACCGGUAAUGCCGGAACUUAGGAAACUGCCGUGACAACCGAAGAAGGUGGGACCACUCAAUUUCUUGGCCUUACGGUAGGCUACCCCUGCCCAAUGCCGGUCAAAGGCUCCAACCCCGAAAUAACCAAUCCAAAAACCGUUCU